AGCGAAAGCUGGCGGCAGGCCUAACACAUGCAAGUCGAGCGCCCAGCAAUGGGAGCGGCAGACGGGAUAGUAACACGUGGGAACGUACCUUUCAGUUCGGAACAACCAAGGGAAACUUUGGCUAAUACCGAAUACGCCCGUAAGGGGAAAGAUUUAUAGCUGAAAGAUCGGCCCGCGUCUGAUUAGCUAGUUGGUGAGGCAAUGGCUGACCAAGGCGACGAUCAGUGGCUGGUCUGAGAGGAUGAUCAGCAUCACUGGGACUGAGACACGGCCCAGACUCCUACGGGAGGCAGCAGUGGGGAAUAUUGGACAAUGGGCGCAAGCCUGAUCCAGCCAUGCCGCGUGAGUGAUGAAGGCCUUAGGGUUGUAAAGCUCUUUCGUCAGGGAAGAUAAUGACGGUACCUGAAGAAGAAGCCCCGGCUAACUUCGUGCCAGCAGCCGCGGUAACAC
rnacentral:rRNA from 1 species